UACGUAGGGUGCAAGCGUUGUCCGGAAUUAUUGGGCGUAAAGAGCUCGUAGGCGGUCUGUUGCGUCGGCUGUGAAAACCCGGGGCUCAACCCCGGGCCUGCAGCCGAUACGGGCAGACUAGAGUUCGGCAGGGGAGACUGGAAUUCCUGGUGUAGCGGUGAAAUGCGCAGAUAUCAGGAGGAACACCGGUGGCGAAGGCGGGUCUCUGGGCCGUAACUGACGCUGAGGAGCGAAAGCAUGGGGAGCGAACGGG
rnacentral:rRNA from 1 species